UUAGCUCGGUUGUGACAAGGAGAAAUUUAAUUAAGUUCUGCAAUUACUUAGGAAGCAUCAAGACAAGCUGGGCCGCAGGCGACGCUGUAACCGGCAUAUUAUGGUUUAGAAAAAAAGCAGAGAAGGUAUAAUUGAUCUAAGGUGACCACACGGGCCAAAAUUCAAUAAAGACAUGCUGAUAAGCUGGAAGGUCACAAAUAAGGAGCAGUAAAGAGAAGGAUGGGAAGAUGAAAUGAAGCAGAAUGCUUUUAAGCAUCCAUAUCCUGGAAAAGUUUGGAAACAUCAAGGUCUGGGACACCCAGUGAAGAUCGUAACAGGGAACUAAAUUCAUUCUCUGUGAUGCUGCCGUCUCCAUCAAUAUCAAAUAACUAAGAACCACAUAACGUUUAAGUUGGAAUGACCUUCAUCAGAUCAUCGUAAUGCUUUGAAGGUCAGGAAAAGUUACAGGAUAUCGGCCUGUCGUUGUGCACUGAGACCAAUGGAAAAUGCAACCUAUAGUCACUAAGGGGUGUGCCUGCACCCGAUCAGGAAGGCCUAGUAACUUGUAUUGCUGUUGUGGUCAUGUGAGCUGGGUUGCUGUGGAGACGAGAGGAGGCUACGACGGGUCAGCUAACGAAGUUUGCCUCGCUGCGGCG